GGAGGGUGCGAGCGUUAUCCGGAAUUACUGGGUUUAAAGGGUGCGUAGGCGGCCAUGUAAGUCAGGAGUGAAAGUUUGCGGCUCAACCGUAAAAUUGCUUUUGAUACUGCAUGGCUGGAAUCAGGAUGAGGUCAGCGGAAUGUGGCAUGUAGCGGUGAGAUGCAUAGAUAUGCCAUAGAACACUAAUUGCGAAGGCAGCUGGCUAGACCUGUAUUGACGCUGAGGCACGAAAGCGUGGGGAGCGAACAGGAUUAGAUACCUUGGUAGUCCACGCCCUAAACGAUGCUUACUCGACGUAUGAAGCUUGUCUUUGUGCGUCCAAGGGAAACCGUUAAGUAAGCCACCUGGGGAGUACGACCGCAAGGUUG
rnacentral:rRNA from 1 species